rnacentral:rRNA from 1 species
GAUGAACGCUGGCGGCGUGCCUAAUACAUGCAAGUCGAGCGAACAGACGAGGAGCUUGCUCCUCUGACGUUAGCGGCGGACGGGUGAGUAACACGUGGAAAACCUACCUAUAAGACUGGGAUCACUUCGGAAAACCGGAGCUAAUACCGGAUAAUAUAUUGAACCGCAUGGUGCAAUAGUGAAAGACGGUUUUGCUGUCACUUAUAGAUGGUUCCGCGCCGCAUUAGCUGGUUGGUAAGGUAACGGCUUACAAAGGCAGCGAUGCGUAGCCGACGUGAGGGGGUGAUCGCCCACACUGGAACUGAGACACGGUCCAGACGCCUACGGGAGGCAGCAGUAGGGAAUCUGCCGCAAUGGUCGAAAGCCUUACGGAGCAGCGCCGCGUGAGUUAUGAAGGUCUUCGGAUCGUAAAACUCUGUUAUUAGGGAAGAACAAAUGUGUAAGUAACUAUGCACGUCUUGACGGUACCUAAUCAGAAAGCCACGGCUAACUACGUG